GAUGAACGCUGGCGGCGUGCCUAAUACAUGCAAGUCGAGCGAACGGACGAGAAGCUUGCUUCUCUGAUGUUAGCGGCGGACGGGUGAGUAACACGUGGAUAACCUACCUAUCAGACUGGGAUAACUUCGGGAAACCGGAGCUAAUACCGGAUAAUAUUUUGAACCGCAUGGUUCAAAAGUGAAAGACGGUCUUGCUGUCACUUAUAGAUGGAUCCGCGCUGCAUUAGCUAGUUGGUAAGGUAACGGCUUACCAAGGCAACGAUGCAUAGCCGACCUGAGAGACUGAUAGCCCGCCCUGGAACUGAACCACGGUCCAGACUCCUACGGGAGGCAGCAGUAGGGAAUCUUACGCAAUGGGCGAGAGCCUGACGGAGCAACGCCGCGUGAGUGAUGAAGGUCUUCGGAUCGUAAAACUCUGUUAUUAGGGAAGAACAUAUGUGUAAGUAACUGUGCACAUCUUGACGGUACCUAAUCAGAAAGCCACGGCUAACUACGUG
rnacentral:rRNA from 1 species